rnacentral:SRP_RNA from 1 species
GUUGGGCACAGUGGUAUGUGUCUGUAGUCCCAGUUACCCAGGAGGCUGAGGAAGGAGGAUCGCUUGAGCCCAGGAGUUCUGGCUCGUAGAGCACUAUGCCCAUUGGGUGUCCACACUAAGGUCGGCAUCAGUAUGAUGACCUCCUGGGAGUGGGGGCCCACCAGGUUGCCCAAGGAGGGGUGAACCAGCCCAGGUUGGAAACAGAGCAGGUCAAAACUCCUGUGCUGAUCAGUAAUGGGAUGGUGCCUGUGAACAGCCACUGCACUCCAAUCUGGGGAAGAUGGCAAGACCCCAUCUCU